AAGCACCAGGCAUAGAUUAAACGAUCCUUUCCUGGAGGGCCCCCAAACUAUCAGAUACAGUUUCCAAUAAAAUGGAAAAUAGUCAUAAAAGAAUGUAUCAAAAAUGUUUCUAACCAUUAAAAAAAGAGAAAAAUAACACUUUUUAAAACGACUACAGUUGAAGUGAGCAUCAAUAUUGUAGUAAAUACUACUUUAAAAAUAGAAAUAAAGACCCCUGGUUGGUGUGGCUCAGUGGACUGAGUGCUUGCCUGUAAACCGAAGGGUCCCCAGUUUGAUUCCCAGUCAGGGCACAUGCCUGGGUUGCAGGCCAUGGUCCC